UACGGAGGGUGCAAGCGUUAUCCGGAUUCACUGGGUUUAAAGGGUGCGUAGGCGGUUCCGCAAGUCCUGUGUGAAAUCUUCGGGCUCAACUCGAAGUCUGCACGGGAAACUGCGGGGCUUGAGUGUGGGAGAGGUGAGUGGAAUUCCCGGUGUGAGCGGUGAAAUGCGUAGAUAUCGGGAGGAACACCUGUGGCGAAGGCGAUCAUCUGGGGUUGUUCUGACACUGAGGAGCGAAAGCUAGGGGAGCAAACGGGG
rnacentral:rRNA from 1 species